rnacentral:rRNA from 1 species
AGUCGAACGGUAGCAGGUCCUUCGGGAUGCUGACGAGUGGCGGACGGGUGAGUAAUGCGCAGAAAUCUGCCCAAAAGUGAGGAAUAGCCUAGGGAAACUUAGGGUAAUACCGCAUGUGCCCUACGGGGUAAAGCAGGGGAUCUUCGGACCUUGCGCUUUUGGAUGAGUCUGCGUCGGAUUAGCUUGUUGGUGGGGUAAAGGCCUACCAAGGCGACGAUCCGUAGCUGGUUUGAGAGAAUGAUCAGCCACACUGGGACUGAGACACGGCCCAGACUCCUACGGGAGGCAGCAGUGGGGAAUAUUGGACAAUGGGCGAAAGCCUGAUCCAGCAAUGCCGCGUGUGUGAAGAAGGCCUGCGGGUUGUAAAGCACUUUCAGUAGUGAGGAAAGACUCAGCGCUAAUACCGCUGAGGGAUGACGUUAGCUACACAAGAAGCACCGGCUAACUCUGUGCCAGCAGCCGCGGUAAUACAGAGGGUGCGAGCGUUAAUCGGAAUUACUGGGCGUAAAGCGUGCGUAGGUGGUUAGGCCAGUCAGACGUGAAAGCCCCGGGCUCAACCUGGGAAUGCCGUUUGAUACUGCUUAGCUAGAGUACUGUAGAGGAAAGUAGAAUUUCCGGUGUAGCGGUGAAAUGCGUAGAUAUCGGAAGGAAUACCAGUGGCGAAGGCGACUUUCUGGACAGAAACUGACACUGAGGCACGAAAGCGUGGGUAGCAAACCAGGAUUAGAUACCCUGGUAGUCCACGCCGUAAACGAUGAGAACUGACUGUUGGGCCCCCUUGGGGGCUUAGUAGUGAAGCUAACGCGAUAAGUUUUCCGCCUGGGGAGUACGGCCGCAAUGUUACAACUCAAAGGAAUUGACGGGGGCCUGCACAAGCGGUGGAGCAUGUG